ACUCCUAGGGAGGCAGCAGUGGGAAUAUUGGACAAUGGGCGAAAGCCUGAUCCAGCAAUGCCGCGUGAGUGAUGAAGGCCUUAGGGUUGUAAACCUCUUUUAGCAGGGAAGAAGCGAAAGUGACGGUACCUGCAGAAAAGCACCGGCUAACUACGUGCCAGCAGCCGCGGUAAUACGUAGGGUGCAAGCGUUGUCCGGAAUUAUUGGGCGUAAAGAGCUCGUAGGCGGUUUGUCACGUCUGCUGUGAAAAUCCAAGGCUCAACCUUGGACUUGCAGUGGGUACGGGCAGGCUAGAGUGCGGUAGGGGAGAUGGGAAUUCCUGGUGUAGCGGUGGAAUGCGCAGAUAUCAGGAGGAACACCAAUGGCGAAGGCACAUCUCUGGGCCGUAACUGACGCUGAGGAGCGAAAGCGUGGGGAGCGAACAGGAUUAGAUACCCUGGUAGGUC
rnacentral:rRNA from 1 species